AUAUCCAGCAAAUAACCCGAUCAGGUUUCAUAUUUUGAUACUUCAGAUAUCGGGUUGGUUCAGUCGGUUUAACCCAAUAACCGAAACAUAAUCCGAGUAUUAUCUAAUACAAAGCGCAAGCAAAUUCUUAUGCACCCAAGCGCAAAAAAAAAAAAAAAAAAAAAAAAAAAAAAAAAAAAAAAAAAAAACUCCACACGUUAAGAGAGACUACACUCCAAUCGGUAGUCACACCACACGAAAUCUUUCAAAAUCACAGCAUGCGAACCGAAGCGUAGACGGAUUCAAUCGAUAUCUGAAGAGAUUGUCACCACUCACCAAGUUUACAGAUGAUUAAGCUGCGGGAGAAAUGCUGUUGUGCCCUUGGGAUCUCGUAUUAUCCCUUAAAUCUGUAAUCGGAAUCGAAGAGAAACAUGCGAUCUGAUAUUAAACGACCUUACUCAAAUAAACGCCACAUGAUAAACCCUAAGAUGAGAGCGAGUGAGAAAGACGAAUCGUACCGUACCGUAGCGUAGCGUGAGCCAAAAACUAAAAGCAGAGAGAAAGCAGAGACUUACCGUAGCGUAGCGUAGCGUGAGCGACGAUCGGAAAGAGCUCCGCGGGAGUCGGGACAGAGAGAAGAAAACCCCUACGAGGUUAGAGCGAGAGAAUCCUUGUUUCUAUUUUUUUUUUUUUUUUGAAUUUCAUUUUUAAAUUCCUUCCUUCCUUCCUCC
rnacentral:lncRNA from 1 species